GGGCCCGCACAAGCGGUGGAGCAUGUGGUUUAAUUCGAUGAUACGCGAGGAACCUUACCAGGGCUUAAAUGUAGUGGGACAGGUCUAGAGAUAGACCUUUCUUCGGACUCAUUACAAGGUGCUGCAUGGUUGUCGUCAGCUCGUGCCGUGAGGUGUCAGGUUAAGUCCUAUAACGAGCGCAACCCUAUCGUUAGUUGCCAGCGGGUCAUGCCGGGAACUCUAGCGAAACUGCCGGUGCAAACCGAGAGGAAGGUGGGGAUGACGUCAAAUCAUCACGGCCCUUACGUCCUGGCCACACACGUGCUACAAUGGCCGGUACAGAGAGCAGCCACUACGCGAGUAGGAG
rnacentral:rRNA from 1 species